rnacentral:rRNA from 1 species
GUCCACGCCGUAAACGAUGAUAACUAGCUGUCCGGGUUCAUGGAAUUCGGGUGGCGCAGCUAACGCAUUAAGUUAUCCGCCUGGGGAGUACGGUCGCAAGAUUAAAACUCAAAGGAAUUGACGGGGGGCCUGCACAAGCGGUGGAGCAUGUGGUUUAAUUCGAAGCAACGCGCAGAACCUUACCAGCGUUUGACAUCCUCAUCGCGGUUUCCAGAGAUGGAUUCCUUCAGUUCGGCUGGAUGAGUGACAGGUGCUGCAUGGCUGUCGU